rnacentral:rRNA from 1 species
AUUGAACGCUGGCGGCAGGCCUAACACAUGCAAGUCGAGCGAGCGGCGGACGGGUGAGUAAUGUCUGGGAAACUGCCUGAUGGAGGGGGAUAACUACUGGAAACGGUAGCUAAUACCGCAUACCAUCAGAUGUGCCCAGAUGGGAUUAGCUAGUAGGUGGGGUAACGGCUCACCUAGGCGACGAUCCCUAGCUGGUCUGAGAGGAUGACCAGCAAAACUGGAACGGAGACAGGGUCCAGACGCCUACGGGCGGAAGCAGGGGGGAAUAUGCAACAAUGGGAGCAAGCCUGAAGCAGCCAUGCCGCGUGUAUGAAGAAGGCCGUCGGGUUGUAAAGUACUUUAAGCGGGGAGGCGUUACCCGCAGAAGAAGCACCGGAUAACUCCGUGCCAGCAGCCGAGGUAAUU